GCGAUCUGAGAUCGAUUAAUCGAAGAAUCGAUUUUUCGAGCAGAAAAUAUCGAUUUUUUAAAUCGAUAUGAAGUACUGUGUCGAUUCACUGAAUCGAUAUAUCACCCUUGAAAAUCGACAUUCGAUUUUUUCUGUUUUGGUAUAAACCAUACAAUUAUUUGCAUUUAGUUGAAUGUGCCUGAAUUAUAAGAGUGCUGCCGGUUAAAGAGUUAACUACUCAUAAACUCGCGAGAUGGCUGUAUGUUUAGUAUCCUUUACUCGCCUCUCUUUAAUAAAAAAGUUACGUUUGUAGUCUUUGACUUUAUGUAUUUAUAAUCUGUGACGAUUGAUAUUGCAUUAUUCAUUUGUUGUUGUCGUUUAAUGAAUACUGUUAUUAGCGUAAUAUAAGUAUUUUCAUGAUUGAUUUUCAUCAGAUUUUCAUGUAGUGUUUGUUGCGAAAUAAUAACUAAUUGAGAGUAGCAUGUCGGGUAGAAGUGAUUAAUGGAAUCAUUUUAUUAAAAAAGACUUCGGAGGCACAUGCAAAUAUUGUCACCAGGACGUAAAAACUAAGGGAAACACAACAAACUUGCGCAAUCAUUUAUUAAGACGUCAUCCAACAAUUCAGACCGUAAGUCUCAAAAAGAAGAGUGAAAGUGGUGGUGGUAAAUGUGGUAAUGCACGAAAUGAUAAUGGAAAUGAUCAAGUUGUUGAUGACAUGACUUUAGACAUCGUUCCAGUUCCAGAUUUGCAAAAUGUUGAUAAUUCGGAUGCUGAAAGCGUGGCUUCUUCUUCUACCAAUGUAUCAGUCUUAAAACAGCAAACAUUGACAUCUUGCUUAACAAAUAUAAAAUCAUUUGGAGAUACUGGUAUUAAGCGUGGUCAAAUAACCAAUGCAAUAGUCUUCAUGAUCGCAAAAGAUGGGUUGCCUUUAAAUACUGUGGAAAAAACAGGAUUUCGAUAUUUAAUGAAAGUAGUGGCACCACUUUAUAAAGUUCCAGCCAGAAAAACAAUGACCCACAUGAUUGACGAUAAAUAUGACAUUCUUUCGACACAACUGAAACUAAAAAUACAAGAAGUAGAAGCACUAUCUUUAACUGCAGAUGUUUGGACUGACUCGCAUAAUAGUCAAAGCUACUUAGGCUUAACUGGUCAUUGUAUAUAUGAAAGUAAAUUAUUGAGCAUAGUUUUUGGUGUAACUGCUCUAACAGAACCACACAAUGCUGACUACUUAGCACAAGUUAUUAUCAAUAUGACGGAAAAAUGGGGCAUCACAAGUAACAAAGUGGUAGCGUUUAUCACGGACAAUGGCGCUAAUAUCGUUAAAGCUGUCACAAAUGUUUAUGGCAAAAA